rnacentral:rRNA from 1 species
AGUGAACGUUGGCGGCGUGGUUAAGACAUGCAAGUCGAGCGAGAAACCUUCUUCGGAAGGUGGAAAGCGGCAAACGGGUGAGUAACACGUAAGCAACCUGCCUCUUAGUUAAGAAUAGCCUGCCGAAAGGCGGAUUAAUGCUUAAUGUGGUUUCUUUUCGCAUGAAAAGAAUACUAAAGCUUGUAACGGCGCUAAGAGAGGGGCUUGCGGCCUAUCAGCUAGUUGGUGAGGUAACGGCCCACCAAGGCUAUGACGGGUAACCGGCGUGAGAGCGCGACCGGUCACAUCGGGACUGAGACACUGCCCGGACACCUACGGGUGGCUGCAGCAACGAAUAUUCCGCAAUGGGCGAAAGCCUGACGGAGCGACGCCGCGUGAAGGAUGAAGUCCCUUCGGGAUGUAAACUUCAAUAGUACGCCAGGAAUCGAUCCUGGCUAAUACCCGGGAAAGUUGACCAGCGUACGAAAGAGGCGGCUAACUCCGUG